rnacentral:miRNA from 1 species
GAAGGCGAGAGAAAGAGAGCGAGGAAAAAUGGAAGGGGCGAGAAGGAAAUAGCUAUUUCUUUCUCGCCCUUCCCAUUUUUCCUCGCUCUCUUUCUCUCGCCUUC